rnacentral:misc_RNA from 1 species
CGCAGCCGCGGUAAUUCCAGCUCCAAUAGCGUAUAUUAAAGUUGUUGCAGUUAAAAAGCUCGUAGUUGAAUUUCGGGAUCAAUACGUCGGUCGUGCUUCGGUACGUACUGGCGUAAUUGAUUUCUCCCUUCUGACGAACCAUGAUGUCAUUAACUUGGUGUCAUGGGAAAUCAGGACUGUUACUUUGAAAAAUUAGAGUGUUUAAAGCAGGCUCACGCUUGAAUACAUUAGCAUGGAAUAAUGAAAUAGGACGUUCGAUCCUAUUUUGUUGGUUUUUAGGAUCAACGUAAUGAUUAAUAGGGAUAGUUGGGGGCAUUAGUAUUCAAUUGUCAGAGGUGAAAUUCUUGGAUUUAUUGAAGACUAACUACUGCGAAAGCAUUUGCCAAGGAUGUUUUCAUUAAUCAAGAACGAAAGUUAGGGGAUCGAAGACGAUCAGAUACCGUCGUAGUCUUAACCAUAAACUAUGCCGACUAGGGAUCGGAUGAUGUUAAUUUUUUAAUGUACUCAUUCGGCGCCUUAC